rnacentral:rRNA from 1 species
UACGGGGGGGGCAAGCGUUGUUCGGAAUUACUGGGCGUAAAGGGCUCGUAGGCGGCCAACUAAGUCAGACGUGAAAUCCCUCGGCUUAACCGGGGAACUGCCUUUGAUACUGGUAGUCUUGAGUUCGAGAGAGGUGAGUGGAAUUCCGAGUGUAGAGGUGAAAUUCGUAGAUAUUCGGAGGAACACCAGUGGCGAAGGCGGCUCACUGGCUCGAUACUGACGCUGAGGUGCGAAAGCGUGGGGAGCAAACAGG